AGAGUUUGAUCAUGGCUCAGGAUGAACGCUAGCGGCAGGCUUAACACAUGCAAGUCGAGGGGCAGCAUGUCCAGCAAUGGAUGAUGGCGACCGGCGUAAGGGUGCGUAACGCGUGAGCAACAUGCCCUAUACAGGAGGAUACUCCGGGGAAACCCGGUCUAAUACUCCAUAGUAUUAUUGAGAGGCAUCUCUUAAUAAUUAAAGCUUCGGUGGUAUAGGAUUGGCUCGCGUGACAUUAGCCAGAUGGUGAGGUAACGGCUCACCAUAGCAACGAUGUCUAGGGGUUUUGAGAGGAAGGCCCCCCACACUGGGACUGAGACACGGCCCAGACUCCUACAGGAGGCAGCAGUGAGGAAUAUUGGACAAUGGAUGGAAAUCUGAUCCAGUCAUGCCGCGUGCAGGAAGACUGCCUUAUGGGUUGUAAACUGCUUUUAUACGGGAGCAAUAAGGGUUACGUGUAACCUGAUGAGAGUACUGUAUGAAUAAGGAUCGGCUAACUCCGUGCCAGCAGCCGCGGUAAUACGGAGGAUCCGAGCGUUAUCCGGAAUUAUUGGGUUUAAAGGGAGCGUAGGCGGGAGGUCAAGUCAGCUGUGAAAUGUAUCUGCUUAACGGGUACACUGCAGUUGAAACUGGUUUUCUUGAGUGCGUAAGAGGCAGGCGGAAUUCGUUGUGUAGCGGUGAAAUGCUUAGAUAUGACGAGGAACUCCUAUUGCGAAGGCAGCUUGCUGGGUCGUUACUGACGCUGAUGCUCGAAGGUGCGGGGAUCAAACAGGAUUAGAUACCCUGGUAGUCCGCACAGUAAACUAUGGAUACUCUCUGCCGGCGAUAUAUUGUCGGUGGCCAAGCGAAAGCGUUAAGUAUCCCACCUGGGGAGUACGUUCGCAAGAAUGAAACUCAAAUGAAUUGACGG
rnacentral:rRNA from 1 species